rnacentral:rRNA from 1 species
CCUACGGGUGGCAGCAGUGGGGAAUAUUGGACAAUGGGCGAAAGCCUGAUCCAGCCAUGCCACGUGUGUGAAGAAGGCCUUCGGGUUGUAAAGCACUUUCAGUGGGGAAGAAAGCCUUGGGGCUAAUACCCUCGAGGAAGGACAUCACCCACAGAAGAAGCACCGGCUAACUCCGUGCCAGCAGCCGCGGUAAUACGGAGGGUGCGAGCGUUAAUCGGAAUUACUGGGCGUAAAGCGCGCGUAGGCGGUCUGAUAAGCCGGUUGUGAAAGCCCCGGGCUCAACCUGGGAACGGCAUCCGGAACUGUCAGGCUAGAGUGCAGGAGAGGAAGGUAGAAUUCCCGGUGUAGCGGUGAAAUGCGUAGAGAUCGGGAGGAAUACCAGUGGCGAAGGCGGCCUUCUGGACUGACACUGACGCUGAGGUGCGAAAGCGUGGGUAGCAAACAGGAUUAGAUACCCCAGUAGUC